rnacentral:rRNA from 1 species
CCAGCAGCUGCGGUAAUUCCAGCUCCAAUAGCGUAUAUUAAAGUUGUUGCCGUUAAAAAGCUCGUAGUCGAACUUCGGUCCUUGUUGGUCGGUCCGCCUUCUUGGUGUGUACUUACUCAACGAGGACUUACCUCCUGGUGAGCUGCAAUGUCCUUUACUGGGUGUUGUAGGGAACCAGGACGUUUACUUUGAAAAAAUUAGAGUGUUCAAAGCAGGCCUACGCCCGAAUACAUUAGCAUGGAAUAAUAGAAUAGGACGCGCGUUCCCAUUUUGUUGGUUUCUGAGAUCGCCGUAAUGAUUAAUAGGGAUAGUUGGGGGCAUUCGUAUUCCGUCGUCAGAGGUGAAAUUCU